rnacentral:rRNA from 1 species
AGUGAACGCUGGCGGUAGGCCUAACACAUGCAAGUCGAACGGCAGCACAGUAAGAGCUUGCUCUUACGGGUGGCGAGUGGCGGACGGGUGCGGAAUACAUCGGAAUCUACUUUUUCGUGGGGGUUAAGGUAGGGAAAAUUACGCUAAUACCGCAUACGACCUACGGGUGAAAGCAGGGGGUCUUCGGAUCUUGCGCGAUUGAAUGAGGCGAUGUCGGAUUAGCUCGUCGGCGGGGUAAAGGCCCACCAAGGCGACGAUCCGUAGCUGGUCUGAGAAGAUGAACAGCCACACUGGAACUGAGACACGGUCCAGACUGCUACGGGAGGCAGCAGAGGGGAAUACGGGACGAUGGGCGCAAGCCUGAUCCAGCCAUACCGCGUGGGUGAUGAAGGCCUUCGGGUUGUAAAACCCCUUUGUUGGGAUAGAAAAGCAGCAGGUUAAUACCCCGCUAUUCUGACGGUACCCAAAGAAUAAGCACCGGCUAACUUCGUG